rnacentral:rRNA from 1 species
UGGUGGAGUGAUUUGUCUGGUUAAUUCCGUUAACGAACGAGACCUUAACCUGCUAAAUAGUUGACGCAAACUUCUGUUUGUGAUCUACUUCUUAGAGGGACUUCGUGUGUUUAACACGAGGAAGUUUGAGGCAAUAACA